rnacentral:rRNA from 1 species
UACGUAGGGGGCAAGCGUUGUCCGGAGUUACUGGGCGUAAAGCGCACGCAGGCGGUCGAUUAAGUUUGGAGUGACAGUUGGUGGCUUAACUGCCAAAGUGCUUUGAAAACUGUUCGACUUGAGGGCUUCAGAGGGACACGGAAUUCCGGGUGGAGUGGUGAAAUGCGUAGAGAUCCGGAGGAACACCGAAGGCGAAGGCAGUGUCCUGGGGAGUACCUGACGCUCAGGUGCGAAAGCCAGGGGAGCGAACGGG